AGGUGUUUUGGAUUACAAUUCCCAGCAGCCGGAGAAGGCCGACAAAGUUGUGAGAAUCGCCAACUAUAUUUCUGCUUCAAAAGAGAUGUUUUUGAUCAUGUGGAAACUGCCUAGUAAGAACAGUAACAGUUCCCAAAAUCAAUGAUUUUUCAUAGAACCCUAGGAGGAGGAGGAAGUUCAACUUAAAUAUCACAAGUUCAUCUCUACAGUCAUGUUUCAAUUUCCCACCCCAUAAUGAAACAUUUAGUACCAGCAACGCAACUGCCUUGUAGCCCGUAAGUGGUGAAAUUCAUUGCUCAUCUGCUCCCUCACACACAAACAGUAUGUAAGCAUAGGUUGGUUAACAGCUCUGAUUUAUAGAUCUUCUGUG